UAGGGAAUCUUCCGCAAUGGGCGAAAGCCUGACGGAGCAACGCCGCGUGAGUGAUGAAGGUCUUCGGAUCGUAAAACUCUGUUAUUAGGGAAGAACAAAUGUGUAAGUAACUAUGCACGUCUUGACGGUACCUAAUCAGAAAGCCACGGCUAACUACGUGCCAGCAGCCGCGGUAAUACGUAGGUGGCAAGCGUUAUCCGGAAUUAUUGGGCGUAAAGCGCGCGUAGGCGGUUUUUUAAGUCUGAUGUGAAAGCCCACGGCUCAACCGUGGAGGGUCAUUGGAAACUGGAAAACUUGAGUGCGGAAGAGGAAAGUGGAAUUCCAUGUGUAGCGGUGAAAUGCGCAGAGAUAUGGAGGAACACCAGUGGCGAAGGCGACUUUCUGGUCUGUAACUGACGCUGAUGGGCGAAAGCGUGGGGAUCAAACAGG
rnacentral:rRNA from 1 species